rnacentral:lncRNA from 1 species
CUAGAGCGGUGGACAAACUGGCACUAACCUCAUGCCCUCCAACGACUAGCUCAAACGACUGGGGACUAGCUUAGCAGCUCAUCACAACAACCUUGGAAGCUCUUGUGCUGCUCCGUGAACUAUACUUGGCUUACUAACCUUGGCCUGCUCUCCAAUCAACGACUGGACUUGCUCAUGACCUUCACUACUUACUUACUAAUUACUUACUAGAAACGAGGUGGAGGAACAACGACUACUAUAUUAUAUAGCACUGGACCUGCUGCCUCUACUCAUCCACUAGAUGCUCGAGAAAAGCUUCCAUCAUAAGCUACUACUUGGAGUUGCGGAACUACUAGCUCUACUACUCGAUCAACUGCUUGAGCUACUACUAUAAUGAACUACCUGACCUUGAACUACUACUACCCGGACCAUGUACUUGUUGAAUUGAUACUCCAACCUGCCAGCUACUACUAGAGCUACUACUACUAUAAUGAACUACUAGGAGUUCCGAUCAACCCAACACCAACUACUGGCUACUACUAUACGACGAUCUACUACCCGAGUCUACUAUUAUAUAUUGAACAACUACGACUAAAUAUACUACUUAUUAAGAAAACAACUACUACUUACUUAUACGACCAGACUAACGAGGAAGAAUGGCUACUUACUACUACUACUAUUGGUGGAUGUGCUCUACAACUAGCUGGACUACGAACGAGAGAGCAAACCCCCGUCCUCGAUGUAAGUGCUGCUUCUCUAUGUAUAAUAAUAGUAGUACAACUGCAACCUGAUACUAUACUCCAGUCUGUGUGCUUGGUGUAGGUAGUAGUUCCACUAGUUUUCUCGUGCUUAGUAGCAGUAACUCUAGCAGGGUCUGUUGGCAUCCUUCAUUAACUUCCGUGGUGUAGUGUAUUCUUUAGUGGUGUAGUUGUUGUGUUUACUGGCUGGCGUGAUGAUGAUGUAUACUCCUAUUUAUUGGGCUUCAGGCUAGACUAGUCGUUGGUAAGAUGCUAAGCUACUAAUCUCUUCUUAGUCUUAUAAAGUGGAUGAAGGUGUAACUCAGUCCAUACCCACUACUACUAAAACUACUACUACUCCGAAUAACCUCUUCCCUUGACCUACCACCCUUCUCUUACAUACAGUACUACAACCCAAAACUUCAUUCGUUUC